rnacentral:rRNA from 1 species
CCCGGUUCGUUGUUACACCUAAUACAUGCAGUCGAGCGAACAGAACAAGGAGCUUGCUCCUUUGACGUUAGCGGCGGACGUGGUAAGUAACACGUGGGCAACCUACCUUAUAGUUUNGGGAUAACUCCGGGAAACCGGGGCUAAUACCGAAUAAUCUAUUUUACUUCAUGGUGAAAUACUAGAAAGACGGUAUAUCGGCUGUCGCUAUAAGAUGGGCCCGCGUGCGCAUUAGCUAGUUGGUGAGGUAACGGCUCACCAAGGCGACGAUGCGUAACCGACCUGAGAGGGUGAUCGGCCACACUGGGACUGAGACACGGCCCAGACUCCUACGGGAGGCAGCAGUAGGGAAUCUUCCACAAUUGGGCGAAAGCCUGAUGGANGCAACGCCGCGUGAGUGAAGAAGGUUUUCGGAUCGUAAAACUCUAGUAUGUAACUGGAAGAACAAGUACNGUAAUAACUGGCUGUACCUUGACGGUACCUUAUUAGAAAGCCACNGCUAACUACGUGCCAGCAGCCGCGGGUAAUACGUAUUGUGGCGACAGCGUUUGUUC